rnacentral:rRNA from 1 species
UGCGUAGGGGGCAAGCGUUGUCCGGAUUUAUUGGGCGUAAAGAGCGUGUAGGCGGCCAGACAGGUCCGUUGUGAAAACUCGAGGCUCAACCUCGAGACGCCGAUGGAAACCGUCUGGCUAGAGUCCGGAAGAGGAGAGUGGAAUUCCUGGUGUAGCGGUGAAAUGCGCAGAUAUCAGGAAGAACACCCGUGGCUAAGGCGGCUCUCUAGUACGGUACUGACGCUGAGACGCGAAAGCGUGGGGAGCGAACAGG